CGCCCCACCCCCUUCUCCGGAAACCCCACGCCGUGAAGUCAUAAUCCUGUAUCUGUGACACCCUGUCGGUUGCUAUGGAGACGACUCGCUGUUAAACACUGGCGUUCUCAAUGAGGGUUGCAGGGGUUCCGAGGCGGACCUGAGGAGCACAAACCCCUGUUUAGGGUGAACCGUGGUGGGCGCCGCUGGCCUCUUGGAAGAGGACAGACUAGCAGCUGCGAGGGAGAUGGGGCUGGGCUUCACCCCUAAAAGGGCCCCUGGAGACAGCGGGUGAGGGACAGGGGAAGGGGCUGGUGGUCCUCUCUCCCGAGGCCCCGCACCAUCACACAGAUGACUUGGCAGAAUAGCUGCUGGGCCAGUGUUGUCGCCUGUGACUGUACUUUAGGGAAACUGACAGGGAGAUCAUGAUGUCGCCAUUUUGAUGGGGUCACCAGAGGAGAGAUGUCCUCUCCAAAGGCUCCUGGACAGGGCUAGGGAAAGAGUUCAGAUAAUAAGUAUCUCUGUGGUCUGGGCUGUCACCUCACAACUGCACAACUCUGGACCUUCAGCAUCAGAACCACUGGGGCCUAGGUUAAUAAUACAGAUUCCCGGGCUCCAAUUUGGACAGACAACACUGAUCUCUGGGGUGGGAUCCAGGAAUCUACAUGUAAACAAGCACCCAGUGGAGUGCUGCUCACUGAAAUUUGAGAAUCCCUGAUUUAGAAGGACUAUGCUCUGUGCAUGUUCUCUGAAAUGUUAGGUCAAUCAGGACCCCUCUACUGAAACUGCUCCAACCAGCCAAGGUGCAGAGAAAAGAUGCAUGCAGGGCCCCCAAACCAGUGUGCUGUGGAGGCAGGGAGCCCUGGAGAAUGUAAAGCCAGCAAGCUGUUACAGAGAGGUUUGCACAGAACAGACACUCAGUUGAUAUUUGUCAAUUUGCUCUGUUUAAGAACAUUGCUGAAUUAAUUUAAAAGGUAUUUUUAAAAGAAUGAAAUUGAGGAAAAACCUUCAAGGUUCAGAAAAUGUGAAGUUCUCAUUUACUUGUUUAUAAAAAUUGUUUUUGAGUCCAAUAAAGAUGCUUAGCUUAAAUGAUUUCUUUUUUAAAUCUCAGAAUUAAGUUUCUCUUAGUUUUGGGCAGUUUGGUCCAGCUGUUUGCAAAAGACAGGCUUCCCUGUCUCCCAUAUGCAGCCCUGAAGGACCCAACAGAAGCAAGAUAGUUAUUUAAGGAAUGUAAAGGACUAGGGACAGGAUGUAGAUUAAAAUGUUUAAGAUGAUGUCUGCAGAUGAUGUUUGUAGAUGCUGAAGUUUGUUGAAUUCUUAGUCUUCCUCACAAAGCAGAUAAUUUCAAGACUCUGGUGAGCCUCAAUUUACUCCAGUUUAUGAUUUCCAAUGGUUCUGCAUAAAACUGGGUUGCCGUUUUAUGAAAUUGUUUGCAUCUGCUUCACGUGGGCGCAAACUUCACAGUAAGGAGAUAAUGUGAGGGUUUUGCCUUCUUGCAAAACAACUUACAUAUAUAUGUGAAGAAACUGGGGUUUGGGUUUGAAUUAUGUGGACUGCCUGUGUGUAGUAAGCUCUCUGGUCAGUUACCCAUUUGGCUUUGUGUGGACACAGCUCAUGGGAGCGAGGGUUGCUUUCCAUAACACACAGGUUGGGGGAAUUCCUGCUCGUUACCUAUAGCAUCUUGCAGGAGGGCUGCUGAACACCGGAGCCUUGCAACUGUUAAACUCAGGCAGAGCUCAGGAAAUGCUGCCCGGAUGGGUGAGUCGUUUUAACACCUCUUGGGUUGAUUUUUCUCACAGGUUUUUGGAGUUUGCAGAGCUCUGAGCCUGUGACCCCAGGGUGAGACCUCAAGCUGCCCAGUACUGUGGCCCCAUUUCAGAGGCCUUGGGCCUGGGCCAGAGAUGGACGCUAGGGGCUUUUACUCGAGGUUUUUUUCUUCAUUGGUCAUUGGUCAUUGGGUUUCAAGAAAAGCACUUUUUUCAGGAAUCAAAGAAGCAGUGAUGGAAGGAAAAGCAGAGAAAACCGAUGAGCCCUGAUUGGCGGUGAAACUUCCAGGAAAUAUCACUUGCCUCUUGAUUAGGGGAAAUCACUUUUGAGUGACCCUGAAUUUUGUGCCCCAAGCAUAGAUUCUGGCAGAAAGAAAUGAUCUGGACUGAUGACACACUACAGCAUUCAGUCAUGUGGAAAGAAUGAUCUUCAGGAAAAAUCACACCCUUGGCAAAGGCUUUUUACAGAGGCAAGGGCGAGCCGGCCAAUUCUGACAAUAUUCCAGUGGCAAGGGAGCCAGGCUGACUUAGUCAUCAUUACUUAUGUUUCUUCUCUUCCUCCCACAUCUCCUUGUAUAACUGUCUUUUGGGGAGGGGUGAAGUGAUAGUAAGAAAAACAACAGCACUUUGAAAAAGGGGUGGGGGGAGAAACAAGAAGGAGAGAAGGAGUUGGGAAGAGCUCUUGAGUGAUGGGGAGAUGGCACUGGGGACAUUCUGGAGCCUGACAGAACUGUGUGGUCCCUCCAGCCUGAGAUGCUGGGAAAACAGGAAGGGAUUUGGGAGAUGGCAGAGAUGAAGUUGGCUCACAAAAUGCAGGGCUCCCUUAGCACUUCACAAAUACCAGCUUACGAAUUAAUCAUUACAAACACUCCGCAGUCAUCAGGAAACCCUUGAUGGAUGGAGAAAGAUGCACAGAGAUCAAAGUUCAGGGGCAGCAGCAAUAUUCAUUUGGGGCAAUUGGAGUGACAGCAGCACGGGUUCACAGCCUGGUUGACCUCAGAGGCUUUCUCAUCUCUUGCAAGAUUUGGAAGCUAUGCAAAAGGUGUAAUGGGGAGAGGCGCUGAUGUCAGGCAUUUAUGGGACCACUGAGGGGGGCAAAGAGGCAGGACAAAAAGCCAGUGACGAUGGGUCAACAGCUGCAGGUAGACCCAUUUGCAGGUUAUUAGAAACUAACUUAUCUAUCCAGCUCUCUCUUUUUUUUUUUUUUUUUUUGAGAUAAGAGUCUUGCUCUGUCACCCAGACUGGAGUGCAGUGGCGUGAUCUCGGCUCACUGCAACCUCCACUUCCUGGUUCACGCCAUUCUCCUGCCUCAGCCUCCUAAGUAGCUGGGACUACAGGCGCCUGGCACCACGCCCAGCUAAUUUUUUUGUAAUUUUAGUUGAGAUGGGGUUUCACCGCGUCAGCCAGGAUGGUCUCGAACUCCUGACCUUGUGAUCCACCCGCCUUGGCCUCCCAAAGUGCUGGGAUUACAGGCGUAAGCCACCAUGCCCAGCCCUCCAGCUCUCUUUUUGUGGUUACCUUAGACACUAUGAAUCUACGUGAAAACCAAGACGAUUGAUCCUUCGAGUGACUGCAGGUGUCCAACGGGCUGUGUUUUUUGCUUCUAAGCGACAGGCAAUUCCAUGUGCGAGUUUAACACCCUGAUAGGCCCUAGCCUUAACUAUGUUUUAAACUCCCCAAAAGUGUUUUUGUGUUUGUGUGCAUGUGAGGGAGAUACCUUAAAAUCCAGCAAUGCUGCUUCCACAGUGCUCUCCUGGGCCCCUUCCAAAGAUAGUAAUAAUAUGGGCAGCUGGUUUCGAUUUUUAUACUUCCAACAGCUACUCUGUGAAAACGGUGUGCAGCAACAGCCAGGCAAUCCAUACAUACUUAUUAAAUGUGCUGGGCACUGGGUACUGGUCCUGGAAUUCUCCUGGUUGUAGGCAAGCUGGGGGACAGGGAGGUGAGAGCUGGAAUCGUCAUUCUGAAGUGUGAUAUUUAUUGGAUCCCAUACUAGGCGACUGAUGGAGAGGGGCUACCACUCUUCCAGCUGAACCCCGCUCUGGUUGGGACCCAGCGAUUAUUUUCCAUAGCGAAGUGUUCAUAAAAUAUCUAUUACUUCCAACACAACCUCCUGGGGGAAGGGACCUGUCUGUCUGUUUCAAUUCUGGAUCCUCAGCACCCACAUCAGGGUACCUGGCCCGAGAGCAUCCGGUGGCCCAGUUUUAGGUCUCAAGGUCACUGCCAAGAAAGAGAAGCUGCUAAAGUGACACCUCAGUGCACCCACAUGACUCAACACAAAAGUUAACAGGAACUCUUCAAAAACCAGCCUCUCAAGUGUCUGCCUCCUGUCGUCCCUGAGGACAGCAUCAGUGGCAUCAGAUAGGGGUGGGGGCUGGGUGACCUGCUGGUCCUCAGCCAUCACCUCAUCCACAGCUCUCUGCUUAGCAGACAGGCAGAGGGAAUAGAUGGAAGGUACAGGUAAACACUGCAUGUGGCCACCGCAAGGACACCCCAGAGCCUGGGAAACGGACAGGGACAUCGUAAAACCAACACAUAAUGGACGAGUGCAGAGAGACGCAAAACCAGUCAGAAGAAGUAGCAUGGUGCCUAGCCCAGGGACACCUGACUUAAGAGAGGAUCCUGCCGGAUACCCUGGAGGAAGGAACGCUGCACAGAGAAGCUGAGAAGAGUUUGAACAGACAGGCCUUGCUGGGUUUAGAUCUCUUUUUGUCCAAUCCCAUUUUGACACAGUUGUCCAUGCUUCAAUCAUACUUAUCCAAUGAGGUUUCCAUAACAGGCCUGAGAGGACCGGGUUCAGGAGCUUCCAGACAGCUGAGCAGGUGGAGGUUCCUGGAGGGUGGUGUGCCAGGGAGAGUGCGGAAGCUCCGCCCCUUGCCCCAUACCUUGCCCUAUGCGUUCCUUCAUCUGCAUUCUUUAGUUUUUAUUAUUUUUUUUGAGAUGGAGUCUCGCUGUUGUCGCCCAGGCUGCAGGGCAAUGGCACGCGAUCUCAGCCCACUGCAACUUCCACCUCCCAGGUUCAAGCGAUUCUCCUGCCUCAUCCUCCUGAGUAGCUGGGAUUACAGGCACCCAUGUAUCAGCCACCAUGCCCAGGUAAUUUUUGUAUUUUUAGUAGAGACGGGGUUUCACCAUGUUGGCCAGGCUAGUCUUGAACUCCUGACCUCAGGUGAUCCACCCACCUCAGCCUCCCAAAGUGUUGGGAUUACAGGCGUGAGCCACUGUGCCUGGCCUGUAUCCUUUAUAGUAUCUUUUAUAAACAACCAAUCAGUAAAUGUGUUACUCUGACUUCUGUGAGCUGCUCUAGCAAAUUAAUCAAAUCCACAGAGGGGUCAUGGGAACCCCAACUUGAAGCCUGUCGGUCAGAAGUUCCAGAGUCCCGGACUUGUGACUGGUGUCUGAAGUGGGCAAGUCUUGGGGACCGAGCCCCCAGCCUGUGGGAUCUGAUGCUGUCUCCACGUAGAUAGCAAUGGAAUUGAAUUGGCGGACCCUCGGCUGGUGUUUGCUGCAGAGCUCAUUGCUUGCUUGGUGGUGGAGAGAAGUCUCCCUCCACAUGUGGUCACAGCAUCUUCUGUCUGUGUUGAUUGCUUUUGGUGUUGAUCGAGAGAACAGGAAAAAGCACAUUGAAUGGCAUUCUUUUUCCCCAUAUUCAAAGUGGUGUAAUUGUUAGGAGGUGGGUUUGGAAAUCCCAGUGGGGUGACCUUGGCCAAAUUACCUUUCUGGCCUCAGUUUCAUUGUCUAUAAAAUGGGAUCCUCUCAAGCACUCCUAUCUCUUCCUGGAGUGCUUGAGAGGAUUCAAUGAGAAAAUUUAUGGAAAGUGUUUACUUCAGUGCAUGGCACAUAGUAAAAGCUCAAAAAGGUCUCAAUGAUGAAGAUGACAAUAAUCUUGCUUCUAGGUUGUCAUGUGGCAGGCAACAGCUGUGCAGAUCCUAAUAAUCUACUCUGGGUGACAGUUUAACACAGGGGUUGGCAAACGUGGCCCACUUCCUAUUUUUAUAAAUAAAGUUUUAUUGAAACAUG